rfam:Myotis davidii contig30676, whole genome shotgun sequence.
AGGCCUGAAGAGAGAGGCAGGGUCUGAUCCGCUGCCUCCGUGGCAGCUGUUGAUCAGCCGUUGCCUCUCUCUUUCUCUCCA